rnacentral:lncRNA from 1 species
CUCGUGUCAGCUUCGUGCUUUUGGUUAAAGCCAAAGUCAAGGAGUAGAAAAACAAACUUCACCUCCACAAUGGGAGGAACUGAGAGGGUGCAAACACAGGGCAGGAGGAAGGAUGAGGUCAAUUCUGCAAUACGGAGCCCUCACGUACUGCAUUCCAAUGGGUGCCACUUGCCCGAAGAGGCCAUUGUUUAUUAGACGCCAGGUGUGGGCACUCGUUCACGCAUUCUGCUAAUGUGCACUGAGCACCUCCCAGCACUGCAGAACUGGCACCUGGUAAGUUACAAAACCAGAUGAGUCCCGGCCCUCCUGGCUCCCACAGGGUGUGUCGGGGGAGGGACUCGAGACGUGGUGUCAUGCACAUGACUGUCAGCUGUGCCCAGUGGCCUGAACAGGAGUUGCUUGUGCUGUGGGUGCCUGUAACAGAGGGCCGCACCCAGUCUUGGGGGUGAGGGAGCUUCCCCAAGGACAUGAGGAUGACGAUGGAGCUGGCAUUUGAGGGACAAGUGGUAACACUCUCGUGGAGAGAAGGAAAAAGCAUCCUAGGCCGAGGGCUCAGCAGACUAUGGAAAUGAUGUUAGACAAAAAGCAAAUUUGAGUGAUUUUCUUACUCGAGUUCAAAAUGGGUCAUAAAGCAGCAGAGACAACACGCAACAUCAACAACACGUUUAGCCCUGGAACUGCUAACGAACAUACAGUACAGUGGUGUAAUUACAAUUACAUCUGAGAAGUAUGCUCAGCAGAUCGAUGAGACACAUUGAAAACUGCAGCGCCUGCAGCUGGCAUUGGCCAACAGAAAGGGCCCAAUUCUUCUCCACGACAACGCCUGACUGCACGUCACACAACCAGCGCUUCAAAAGUUGAACUAAUUGGGCUACGAAGUUUUGCCUCAUCUGCCAUAUUCACUUGACCUCUCCCCAACCGACUACCACUUCUUCAAGCAUCUCGACAACUUUUUGCAGGGAGAACGCUUCCACAACCAGCAGGAUGCAGAAAGCGCUUUCCAAGAGUUCAUCGAAUCCCAAAGCACAGAUUUUUACACUAUAGGAAUAAAUGAACAUUUCUUCUUGGCAAAAAUGACUUGAUUGUAAUCGUUCUUAUUUUGAUUAAUAAAGAUGUAUCUGAGCCUAGUUAUAAUGAUUUAAAAUUCAUGGUCCAAAACCGCAAUUACUUUUGCACCAGCCUGCAACCUGUACAACAAACCCCCAUGACACAAGUCUACCUACGUAACAAACCUGCGCAUGCGCCCCUGAACUUAAAAUAAAAGUUAAAAAAAAAAAAAGACUAGAGAGGAGCCUAUAUUUCCACUGAAAGGAAGGAGAGGUUGGGGAAUAGGAAUAAUUCUGCACAGGAACAAGAAAGCGAAUGCAAGGAAAUUUUCAGACCAGUCUCUUUGCCCGAGUCUUUAAAAGUUUUUGUUAGGGGUCAUGAAGUUUGAAAUGUGUCUUAAGGAGGGAUGGAUUACUUGGAAUAAAUUGCCUCUAUGAGACAGUGUGAUAUGAUGUGACAUGAGGGACUGUGGAGUCACGUGGGGUGGGGGUGGGAGGAGGAUGAGGAUUAAAAUCUACACACGGAGUACAGUGUACACAACUAGGGAGACGGGAGCACUAAAAGCUCAGACUUCACCACUGUACAAUUCAUCCAUGUAAUCAAAAUCCACAUGUACCCCAAAAGCUCCUGAAAUUAAAAAGCAAAUUCACAGGUGUCAACUUAGACAGCGACAGAACCUGACAUUUUGUUGACAAGUUGACUGCAACGUAGAGCAUCUCCUGGAGGAUCUGCUUUUACGGCGUAGCGAUGGCAGGGCUUCUGCUUCUGGAAGGUGGAGCAGGUGCAUUCACGCCCUUCUCUGUCUUCCUCCAACAACAUAAACUAAAAGCUGUAAGCAUGGCAGAUGCUUGAUCCGCCCCUCCUCCCAUGUGAGAUGCUGCCUCGAGAGCUGCACAAAGACCCCUCUGUGAAGCCCCUUAGCGAUCCCACAAGGAAAAUAGCACGACCAUCCUGUUCUACAGAUGGGGCAACUUGAGGCUCAGAGAGGCCAGGCGACUUGCCCAGUGUCACACACAGUCUGCCAUUGGUUGUAGAGUCAGGAUGUGAACCCGAGUUUGUCUCACUCAGAGCCCGCACUCUGAGCUGCCUGCCUCUGCUUCUCGGAUUCCAGCCUUGGUUUUGUGUGAGUCCCGGGCACACUGUAGGUGCUGAACUCAUUGCUGAAUGCACACAUCCAGCAGAUGUUUAGUGAGCGCCUACUGUGUGCCAGGCAGUGUUCUAGGCACUGUGGAUACAGCAGGGAGCAAGACAGACAGCAACCUUGCCCCCAUGAUGCUGGUAUUUAAGUAGCAGAAGAAAACAUGCAAUAAAUAUUGAUACACACGCACUAUGCUAGACACUGGUAAGUGCUAAGGUCAGAAAAUGACGCGGGGGCAGUGGGGACGGGAUGCAAGGGGGUGCAAUAUUAAGUGGAGUGGCAGGGAAGGCCUCGCUGAGAAAGGAGUCAUUGCACCUGAAACAGGGAAGGUUACGAGCAAUGGGGCAUCUAGGGGAGAAGGAACAGGCAACACAGAGGUCUGGAGGCCGGACCACGCCUGUAGCAACUUUGAGGAACUGCAAGGAAGCCAGCAUGGCUGAUGCUAAGUGCGCAAAGAGGUCAGUGGUGGGAGAUGAGGACACAGAGGACAGAUGCUCCAGGAGGGCCAGAGUGUGUGCGGCUUUGAGGCCACAGAAGGACUUGGUGUUUACUCUGGGGGAAGUGGGAGCCACGGCAGGCGUUUGAGCAGAGAAGCAGCCUCCUCUGACUUGGGAUUUAACAGGUUCCCUCUGGCUGCCGUGUGAGGAAUAGCCUCAGUGGGGUUAGGGUGGCAGCUGGGAGACCAGGGACCUGGACUACUGCACCUGUCCAGGCGAGCAAUGAUGGCAGCUGGAACCUGGUUGGGGUGGGGAGAGGUGGAGGUGGUGAGAAGUCCGCAGAUUCUGGAUGUAUUUGGAAGAGAAAAACAGCAGGAUUUGCUGAUGAGUCAGACACGGGCAGGAGAGAAAAAAAGCAGUCGGAUGACUCUGAGGUGUUUAGUCCAGCAACAGGGAGAUGAGGUUACCAUUCCCAGAGAAGCAGGCAGUGGAGGAGCAGGCCUGAGGUCGAUGUUAAACAUGAUGCACACAAAGAAUCGCAUGUUCUCCAGCCCUUGAAUUGAGGUGCAGUCACGUGUCUUGGUGCAGUGCGUGAAACCCGGAUGGAACAGAUAUGUUUUAAGAGCCAGUGCGCAAUUCACCAUGAUUCACUUCAUUCACUUCCCUUCCUACAACUAUUGCAGUUUGCCAAGAGUAGAGCGAUCUGUGCCACCCAUGAGGGACAACACAUAAACUGUGAUUAUUGUUUGUUAAGCUGGAAUUUGGGGGGUCAUUUGUUAAUGCAGCAAGACCUAAUCUCUCCUGACUGAGGCCAGAUUAAAUGAGUUAAUACAUCUAAAAUCCUUGGAGUACUGUCUGGCACAUGGCAGCCACCACAGACUGUUAGCUUUUAUUAUUGUUUAAACAAUCAUAAAGACAAAAUCAGCAAACCUGGACAUGGAGUAGCAGAUAGACUCCAGGGAGGCCCCAGUGGCCUCUGCCUCCUGGUGUUCAUGCCCUUAUUAAUCUCCUCCCCUUGAUUGUGGACUAGACCCACAUGAGGCUUUCUUCUUGCAAAGGUGAUGGAAUGUCACUUGCAGGACCUACAAUCAUAGUGUCUGUCUUGCUAGGAGGCUCUCUCCCUUGCUGGCUCUGAUGAAGUGAGUGGGUAUGUGGGAAGAACCACAUAACAGAGAACUGGGGGUGGCCGCCAGCCAAUGACCAGCUAAGAAUAGAGGGGGCAGCCUCUGGCCCAAAGCCAGCAAGAAUCUGAGCCCUACAGCCCCACAGCGAGGGUAACCAACUCAUUCCAGCCUGCCUGGGCUUUUUCAGCUUUAGCACUGGAGAGUCCCACAUCCCUGGAAAUUCCCUCCUGGUCUAUCCAGGACUAUCCUAGUUUUAGGGUUGAAAGGUUGGCAUCCCUGGAGCCCCUCAGUCCUGAGCAAACUGGAAUGGUCGGUGUAUUCGAUGGCUAGGACUGCCGUGACAAGUGCCACAGACUAGGCGGCUUACCGAACAGACGUUUAUUUGCUCACAGUUCUAGAGGCUGGAAGCCCUGGAUCAAGGCGUGGGCAGUGUUCUUUUCUUCUGAAGUCUCUCUCCUCGGCUUGCCGAUGGCCAUCUUCUCUCUGUGUCUUUACGUGGUCUUUCCUGUGUAUGUCCUAAUCUUAUUUGAUAGAAUAGUCAUAGCAGAUUUGGGCCCACCCUAAUAACUUUGUUUUAACUUAAUUACUUCUUCAAAGACCUAUUCCUAAAUACAGUCACAUUCUGAGGUACUGGGGCAUAGGACUUCAACAAAGGAAUUUUGGAGGGGGCACAGUUCGGCCCAUAAGAACUGGUUCCCCUAAUUGACAGCAACAAGAACCUGAAUUCUGCUAGCAACCAUGUGAGCUUGAAGCAGAUCCUCCCUGGUCAAGCCUUCAGAUGAGACCCAGUCCAGCUAACACUUUAAUGGCAGCCUUGCAGAGGAACCAGCUAAGCCAUGUGAGGCUCCUGACCCACAGAAACUGCUACAUAAUAAAUGGGUAUCCCAGCUACUCGGGAGACUGAGGCAGGAGAAUCGCUUGAACCAGGGAGUUGGUGGUUGCAGUGAGCCAAGAUCACGCCACUGCACUCCAGCCUGGUGACAGAGCAAGACUCCAUCUCAAUAAAUAAAUAAAUAAAUAAAUAAAUAAAACUGGGUAUCAUUUUAAGCUGCUAACUUUGUGACGUUUUGUUACAUAGCAAUGGGUAAUGAAUGCCUUGAGUCAUAUCUGUGCACUUGCCCAACCUUGCCCAUAGCUUUCUGCUGAUCCCUGGCACAGAACCUUCUGUUUCCAUAGUCACAUGAUGGUCUUCUGGGAGAACUGGAAGGACCAAUAUUACUCUGUAGAUUCCUCUUCUGUUUCACCCAAUAACUCACUCUUCUGGGUUCUUCACUCUUCCCUCAUGUGGUAUAACUUUGUUUUUGUCAAAAUACUUUUAUACACUUUACGAAUCAAUCCAUUUCUUGUUGGGUUCUGACAAUGUCCCCAGUACGACUGGGUCUUUAAAGUGUUGAGUUUUUAUCUUCUUUCCAGCCACACAGGAUAACCAUUCCCUCCUAACUGCAAAUAGCAAGGAUGAGGGUUACAGAGGUGAUGUCGUCAAGUGUAUUUGACUCCAGGCUCUGAGAACCUGCAGUCAUCUUCCCUAAUCCAGGAUGCCCAG